rnacentral:piRNA from 1 species
AAAUAUUCCAGUAGGCCUGAGGUCAAG